GGACCCCGCCCCGCCCUCGCGCUCCCCGGCCCUGGCCGGGGUCUCCUCCCCGCUGCGCCCCUGGACCCGGGCGGCCGCGGAGGACGUGGGUGGGAGAGGGCCGAGGGCGCGCCCGGCUGGGCUCCCGCCGAUGCCGGCCCCCUGGUGGCCUCUGGCCCUCUGGGACCCAGCGCACCGCGAGGGAGGCUCCGGGCUCCGCACUCAAGGGCAAGCGGAAGCCGAGGUGGCGGCGCCGGAGCCAGGCAUGUCCCGCUGCCCAGCGCGGGGCUGAGGGCGCAGACGGGGACCGCGCGAGCCGCUCUCUACCUGGCCUCCUCGGAGUCCAGGGCGCGGAGGGUACUGGGCUGCGGAUCCGGCGCAGGCGGCCCCGGACGCUGCUAGGCGCGGGCGGAUUUCUGUUGCACAAAUGGGCCAAACAGAAGGACCGCCUCCAUGAACCGGUUCUGCAAAUGUCAUUUGUACAUCUUGAGGAUGGUUGAAAGAGCGAAGGCAAAGAAGAUGCAAAGAAGACAGCUGUCACACAAACAAGCAGGAUGCCACCUUCUUCCUGGGGACCAGAAGCCAGGAAAAAAUCAUGGGGAAGGUUUCAGAGACAUCAGUGGAAUAAGAUUUUGAAGCCCAUAGAAUAUUUUUUUCUUUUUGGAAGUUAUUUUAUUUUGUUUUUCUAAGUAAAACCUAAUAGAAUCCCAAAAUGGGAGAGAUGAAAACAUUUCCUUCCAGCCCUGCAGAGUUAAAGUAAACAGCAGGGAAACAGGAGGGAGGUCUAGGCCCUGCAUAUCACCUCGGAGGUUCCCUGCACCACCCACCGCCCACGCUGCCAGAACUUCUUUCCAAAGCAAUUGCCAAUCAGACCAACUCCUUUCUGAACACUCGCCAGCUGCGCGAUGAUGAGGCCCUGAAUGAAAGCCGUGCCAGCGAGGACCCAGAGAAGGAAUCAGCAGUGUGACACCUGACUCAGUGCAGGGUGAGGAGCAGGAGGGUGUGAGAGUGGCUCCCCCUGUUCUGUGAGACUGGGGAGAGCCUGGAAAGUCUGUGCUCAGAGAUGAGGAGCCCUCUGGGAUGCACCAUGGGCCAAGAGGUUGGCGAAGACGUGCUGACCUGGAGGGCUCCAAGGUCACCUGGAAAGACUUAUCCUCUUCACAAUUGAAAACUUCAGCCAGGAGUUCAGGAGCAAGGUCUUGGAUGGAGCCACAGAACUGAAAUUAACACAAAAAUCGAGAGUGGCAGCUGUCCGUAGUGAUUGUGAUCAAAGAUGUGGGUGGGAUCGCCCAAGGCAAGCACAGAGUGGGAAGAGGAGAGGCCACUCAUGGAAUCAAGUGACGGGAAGUGAGGCUCCCAGCGAAAGACAGAGCGAGGUACACUGGGCCCACAGGCCGCCUGGGCAGCCAGGAGCAUGCUUGUCUGAUAAAGGCUGUUAUUACUGUUAUUUUUGUUAUCAGUGUGUUACUGUAGCAUAUCUGGAAAAUACUGCGGAGCAUUAUGAGUCAGAACCCCUCAGGGAGAAGCAGUGCUAACCUUUCGGUGACCUCUGUACAAUCAUUUUUUCUCCUCACUUCUCUCUCUCUCUAACGUGUAUACGUGUGUAUGUGUGUGUGUGUGUGUGUGUAGUAUGAAUAAUAUAUUGCAUCUUGUAAUACAGUAUUACAUUUUAUAUUAAAUUGCAUUUUCUAAUAAAUAGCUUUAAUGCA